UGUGAAGCAGGUCCCAGCUAGAUGGACUCUGGACUUGCUAGCAUUGGAAUGGUAGAGUGCAGGCUGUUCGAAAGCUGCUCUUGGAUCAAUGAAGACCAACUGGGAUGGCUAUGCUCCUGCGCAGUGAGAGUGACGUGUCACUUCUGGGCUCACUCCCUCCAAAUGGUCCAUUUCUGUCUCAAAAUAAGGUGCCCAAAAGCAGAACACCAAACAUGAUGAAAAUCAGCCCUUUACAGUGAGAACCUGAGAUACUCUUGCUUGAACAAGAUGGUGGGGAUCCUCACCCAGCUGAGGGUGCUGAUAUUAAACCUUCAAGGCAUUGUGGCCUUAGCUCUUGAGAACAGUGUCUCUCAUUCAAGUCGUGAAGGAGUUUUCUCUCAGAUGUGUUUUCUGGUUUUAAAUUGGCUGGCAAGGUUUUCCCCUCUCUUUACAUAGCUGUUAUUUUCUAGCUUCGGCAGUGAAGGUACCUUAAACUUGUGUGAGUUAGUGCUUCUGAAACAGCCUAGGCUGUUCAGUUUCACAGGAUUUAAGACUGACUUAAUGUUUGUGUCCUGAAUGUGCUAGGUUUUGCCUGAAGAAUACUUCAAGCUGAAGCUGAAAUUGUUGGCCUUAUUCUCCCUUUGUAUAAGAUGUUUAAGUUGAGAGUUGUGUAUGGUAUAACAACCUUUUCUUGUCUGCAAUUGUAAUAGUUUGGGACCUACCCUCAUCACAGUUUCGAGUGGCACCACUUUGAAGUGUUUUGGAGCUUCCUGUUUUGGAGAGAAUGGAGGAAGUGCAGAUAAGACAACCUGAAGAGCAUGGCUGUGGAAAAUACCAGUGCCUCUAACUGAGGACCUGAAAACGCUCAGCAGCAACAAUACCAAAGCAGAGGAAAAAAAGCCGCUUUCUGGAGAUCACCAGCUUGGAGAGAACAGAGGAAGAUCCACUUGCCAGUGGUUUCAAUGUCCUUGCUUAAGACCUCUCUGCCAGGGUACCUGGCUGAAGGGUCAUAAAUUUGCACUGUGAUGAGACACAACCAGAUGUUAGGAUACGUGAAGCGACUGGCGAAGCAGCCUGCCUGGCGCAGCCCCCACCUCCGGAGUCAGCCGCCCGCUAAUGAGAAGCAGGUCUCUCGCCUUGAGCUGGGCCAGGACAGACGGAGAGCAUCCCCAGGAGCAACUACAGAGCUGCCAUCUUGACCCCCUUCCUGCUCUUGGUGCCCGGAGAGCAUCUCCAGGGCUGGAUUUGGGCACUUUGGUGGCUAUUGACUUCUGGCAGCCAUCUGGAAAGAUAGUUUGGGCCGGUACAGGGGGGGAACA